rfam:complete chromosome Acholeplasma palmae.
UCUGGUGACGAUGGCGAAGUGGAAACACCUGUUCCCAUACCGAACACAGCAGUUAAGCACUUCAGCGCCGAAAAUAGUACAGUGUGCGAAGAUAGGACGUUGCCAGGC